rnacentral:rRNA from 1 species
CCUACGGGUGGCUGCAGUGAGGAAUAUUGGUCAAUGGGCGAAAGCCUGAACCAGCCAAGUCGCGUGAAGGAUGACGGCCCUACGGGUUUUAAACUUCUUUUGUCAGGGAGCAAUUGAGUCCACGUGUGGUCUUAGCGAGAGUACCUGAAGAAAAAGCAUCGGCUAACUCCGUGCCAGCAGACGCGGUAAUACGGAGGAUGCGAGCGUUAUCCGGAUUUAUUGGGUUAACAGGGUGCGUAGGCGGAAUAUCAAGUCAGCGGUAAAAAUUCGGGGCUAAACCCCGUCGUGCCGUUGAAACUGAUGUUCUUGAGUGGGCGAGAGGUAUGUGGAAUGCGUGGUGUAGCGGUGAAAUGCAUAGAUAUCACGCAGAAAUCCGAUUGCGAAGGCAGCAUACCGGAG